rfam:Triticum aestivum genome assembly, contig: Triticum_aestivum_CS42_TGACv1_scaffold_129950_2BL
UUCAUACUCCCUCUGUCCAAAAAUACUUGUCAUCAAAAUGAACAAAAAUGAAUGUAUCUAGAACUGAAAUACAUGUACAUACAUUCCCUUUUAUUCAUUUUGAUGACAAGUAUUUCCGGACGGAGGGAGUAGUAC